rnacentral:rRNA from 1 species
UACAGAGGGCGCAAGCGUUGUUCGGAUUCACUGGGCAUAAAGAGCACGUAGGCGGCUACGUAAGUCGGAUGUGAAAUCCCGCGGCUCAACCGCGGAAUUGCAUCCGAUACUGCGUGGCUCGAGGUCGGGAGGGGUGAGCGGAACUCCAGGUGGAACGGUGAAAUGUGUAGAUAUCUGGAGGAACACCGGUGGCGAAGGCGGCUCACUGGCCCGAAUCUGACGCUGAGGUGCGAAAGCUAGGGGAGCGAACGGGAUUAGAUACCCCGGUAGUCCUAGCCGUAAACGAUGGGCACUAGGCAAUGGAUCAUCCCUAUGGGGUUCAUUGCCGUAGCAAAUGUGUUAAGUGCCCCGCCUGGGGAGUACGCUCGCAAGGGUAAA